GCCAGGCACAGUGGUGUGUGCCUGUAGUCCUAGCUACUUGGGAGGCUGAGGUGGGAGGAUCACUUGAGCCCAGGAGUUCUGGGCUGUAGUGCGCUAUGCUGAUCGGGUGUCCACACUAAGUUAGGCAUUAAUAUGGUGACCUCCCGGGAGCGGGGGACCACCAGGUUGCCUAAGGAGGGGUGAACCGGCCCAGGUCGGAAACAGAGCAGGUCAAAACUCCCGUGCUGAUCAGUAGUGGGAUCGUGCCUGUGAAUAGCCACUGUACUGCAGCCUGGGCAACAUAGCAAGACCCCAUCUCA
rnacentral:SRP_RNA from 1 species